AAUAGAUACCCAGGUAGUCCACGCCGUAAACGAUGAGUGCUAAGUGUUAGGGGGUUUCCGCCCCUUAGUGCUGCAGCUAACGCAUUAAGCACUCCGCCUGGGGAGUACGGUCGCAAGACUGAAACUCAAAGGAAUUGACGGGGGCCCGCACAAGCGGUGGAGCAUGUGGUUUAAUUCGAAGCAACGCGAAGAACCUUACCAGGUCUUGACAUCCCAUUGACCACUAUGGAGACAUAGUUUUCCCUUCGGGGACAACGGUGACAGGUGGUGCAUGGUUGUCGUCAGCUCGUGUCGUGAGAUGUUGGGUUAAGUCCCGCAACGAGCGCAACCCUUGUUCUUAGUUGCCAUCAUUUAGUUGGGCACUCUAAGGAGACUGCCGGUGACAAACCGGAGGAAGGUGGGGAUGACGUCAAAUCAUCAUGCCCCUUAUGACCUGGGCUACACACGUGCUACAAUGGACGGUACAGACGGUUGCCAACCCGCGAGGGGAGCUAAUCCGAUAAAACCGUUCUCAGUUCGGAUUGUAGGCUGCAACUCGCCUAC
rnacentral:rRNA from 1 species